rnacentral:rRNA from 1 species
AAUAAACGCUGGCGGCGUGCCUAACACAUGCAAGUCGAGCGAGAAAGUCCUUCGGGAUGAGUACAGCGGCGGACGGGUGAGUAAUACGUGAGAAUCUGCCUUUUAGUGGAGAAUACCUUCGAGAAAUUGAAGUUAAUACUGCAUAAGUCCUUCGGGAGAAAGAUGGCCUCUUUGCUGUCGCUAAAAGAUGAGCUCACGCACUAUCAGCUAGUUGGUGGGGUAAAGGCCUACCAAGGCUAUGACGGUUAGCCGGCCUGAGAGGGUGUACGGCCACACUGGAACUUAGACACGGUCCAGACUCCUACGGGAGGCAGCAGUGGGGAAUAUUGCGCAAUGGGCGAAAGCCUGACGCAGCGACGCCGCGUGGAGGAUGAAGGUCUUCGGAUUGUAAACUUCUGUUAAGUGGGAAGAAAAAUUUGCGUUUAAUACACGCAAGGAAUGACGGUACCAUUAGAGAAAGCACCGGCUAACUUCGUGCCAGCCGCCGCCGUAAUAC